UUUUUUUUUCAAAUGAUAGUUUAUUAUUUCUUUUAUGACUAUCUCCUAACAGGCGAUUGGCUACUUCUCUUUGACAGGAGGAAAGCUUGCAUCACAAGUUAACAAACACAGUAGCCAAUUCUGGGACAACCUCAGCUGGGAGGCACCAGUUUAUUGUGAUUGGAUUUCUUCAAAGAUGCACCUAGAGUGAUAACAUUACCACUUGUUUAUAUUUCUAAUCUUAACUUUAUUAUUACUUAGAGCAUACAUAGUUAUCACUGUAUUGGACAGUGUAUCUUCUACAUUUCAAGGACAAAGUUAACCAACUAAAUAACACAAAAUAAAAUUGUUCUUUAUCUUUCUAUUUUUAUAGCACUUUCAUUCUUUAUUGUGUGAUUCUUAUGUCUCUGUCUUGCAUUUCAGGUCCUCUUCUUCUGUUCUACAAACCCCCUACCCCCAAGUCAUGUAUUUCACAUUGGAAUUAAAAAAAAUUAGUAAUUAUCUUCCCUUGAUAAGUAGGCUCAAAGAGAGUGAUUCUGAUGUUUAUUCUUCUCAAGCUUUUUGUUGUUUUAAUUGUGGUCUAGGCUGGGUACACUAGUACAUAGCUAUAAUUCCAGCACAUGGGAGGCUAAGGCAGGAGGACCAAGAGUUUGAGGCCAGUCUGGGCUACAUAGGAAAUCCUGUCUCAAAAAUUAUGGCUAAGUAUAUACCACAUGAAAUUUGCCAUUUUAAUCAUUUUUAAGUAUACAGUUUAAUGGCAUUAAAUAAAUUCACAUGGUUGUAUAACCAUCACCACUAUCACCAGAAGUUUUCAAUCAUUGUAAGCAGAAGCUCUGGCCCCGUUAAGCUCCCCGUGCCCUCUCCCCCCAGAUCUCGAUGACCUCUGUUCUGAUUUCUGUCCAUAUGCGUUUGUCUAUCCAUGGGCUUCAUGUGAGAAGGUCCUUCAAGGCUUUAAAGUGUCACCCUCAUGUGUCGUGUGUUAGGAUUUCCCUUCCUUUUUGUGGCUGGAUAUUCCUCCAUUAUAUACAUAUACCACAUAUUAAAAAAAUCUGUCUUCUGAUAGACAUUUGGGUUGUUUCAGCUUUUUUGGCUCUUGUCAGUAAUGCUGCUAUGAAUAUUAUUUCAGUACUUUUCAGUUAUUUUAGGUAUAUACUCAGAAGUAGAAGUGCUGGAUCAUAUGUUAAUUCCAUGUUUGUUUGAUGAACUACUGUGCUGUUUUCCACAGUGGCUCACCAUUUUACAUCUCCCCCCAAAUAUACAAAUAUUCUCAUUUUUCUAAAUUCUUUUCAACACUUCCUAUUUUAAUCUUUUUUUGUCUUUGCUAACAGUCAUUCUGAAGGGUAUGUAGUGAUCUUGUCAUGUUUUGAUUUGCAUUUUCCUUGUGACUAGUUAUGUUGAGCAUCAUUUCAUGUGCUUACCUGUCAUAUGUAUGUACGUUUUUAAAAAAUGUAUUGAACUCUUUUGCUGUAUUUGAAUUGUUUAGUUGUUAGUGUUUUCUUUAACUCCUGUGUUCUUAAUUAAUUUAAUUAAGUUAAAUUGAGAUUGCACUUAGAAUGUUAUGGGAAAAUUCAUUGCCAUAAGACACAAAUACAUAAAAAUUUUGGCAGGUUCUGUCUACCUUACAGUUUUCUGGUAACUUAUUUUUGCUCCAUUGCUGGAGAUAGUGGAGUAGAGUAGAAAUAGGCUGCGUUUUUACUUUACUGAGAGAGAAAUCAGGUGUUCAUAUUUAACAUACUUAUGGCGUGCACAUCUCCACCCUUUCCACCCACCUUGCCAUCUCUGGGAACAGGACUGUGUGUGCAGCUUGUAGUGUGGGAGCAUAGUAGUCAUAUCUUGCAUGCUUGCUUUUGAGAUGUCUGACCCAUACCCUUUACUUGUAGCACUGUGACCUCUGCCGUGUUCACUGUGGGAGAUAACGUUGUUUCAGGCAGUGAUGACCGCACAGUGAAAGUAUGGGACUUAAAAAAUAUGAGAUCCCCAAUUGCAACCAUUCGCACAGAUUCUGCAAUUAACAGAAUCAAUGUGUGUGUUGGCCAAAAAAUCAUAGCCCUCCCCCACGACAACCGACAAGUGCGAUUGUUUGAUAUGUCAGGUGUGCGACUAGCACGACUUCCCCGGAGCAGUCGACAGGGCCACAGAAGAAUGGUGUGCUGUUCGGCAUGGAGUGAAGACCACCCCAUGUGCAACCUGUUCACGUGUGGGUUUGACAGGCAAGCCAUUGGCUGGAACAUCAACAUUCCUGCAUUGUUACAAGAGAAAUAAGGUCACCACAUUCCUCAGUUUUGUGGUUUGCCAUGGACUUUGGAUUCAUGCAGGCUCUUUUGCACAUUAAUCUGCCAUUUUGUGAGCGUUUGACCCUUGGAAGGGUACUUUGUAUAUGUUCUUUUCACAUCGUGCCCAGCCUGCAUGAAAUGUACAGAAAGAUGUGCGAACAUAUUUUUUAUUUUUGUCUCGUGUGUAUAUAUUGACAUUCUCUGGUCAGUAGAAGUGAAGCUCACCCCCAUUAGCACACAAAAUGCUUGUGAGUUGUUGACAUCUGACAGAUGAGCAGUAGGGCAUUACAUUUGUGUGAGUUAAUGUGAACCUGUGUACUUACUGUGAGGCACACAUGGUCUGUUGCAUUUUCUGGAAUGAUUAUACAUAUCUACCUUGUACUGGGGAGGCUGCAGAGCUGCCAUUGUGUUGGCUAACGAAUGGCAGGAAUGAUCAAAGAUUUCACGUUGACUUCUGUGUGAUGUUUAGCAUGUGCUAAUGUGUAGUUCAAUUUCAACUAAUUUCUAUUAGAGUUAUGUAAAAAUAACCUGGAUUUUUGCAACAUUUGCAGAGAGUUUCUUUUGAAAAGAACAAGUUUCUGCUCUUUUUAUAGAAAAUCAUUUCAAUCUCUUGAGGUCUCAUACUAGCAAAUUCUAAAAUAUGAUUAUUCAAAUCUGAUUUUAGAUAUUAAGCAAAAUUUAAAGCACUUUAGUUUAUAGCUGUGGUUAUAAACAAUUUUUAGAAGUUUCAAAUGACUUAUCCAUUGAAUGUGACUUGACCUUUAUAGGAAGGCCCUGCUACCUGAAAACAGAAUCUUAUUUAUUUUCUACAUCUUGGGUUUGCAUAUUUCUAAAUGCGUUCACUUCCUUGGUGGUAUUUGAGAGCCAACAAUGCAAAUAAAUGAGUACUACCUCAAAAAUAUUUGGAAAACUUCAGUCUCACUGUUGCCUAGCUGAAGCACUUUGGAUUUAUAGCUGGAAUACUAAAUUCAGUGUAGAAGGCAAGAAAGACAAUCAAACCAAAUGUGUGCUAAGGUAAAAGGUUCUUCAUUUAGGCUAAUAAGAUGAUAACCAUGACAAAUACUUCAUAGGUAACAGGAUGUUUUUGUCUUGAGUAGCUGGGAUACCUCUCAUUGCCAAUCCUACUACUGCGUGAGUGAGCCUUUUAUUCUUGCCUUCUUAGAAAUUACUGUCCAUCUGAUAUUUGUAAGUUAAUAGUUCUUAUUGAGUUACAGUUUUGAUAAAGAGACAUCUCAAUUACUGCCCCUCAUAUUUUUAAUCCUUUAGAUGCAGCCAUUGGAGGGUGAUCACUUAGAGAGGCACAGGAAGGUAAUAUUAAACUUUCAUUGUAGCCCCACCCCACUCUCAGUUCCCUAGGUUUUCCAGUUUUCUGGUGUUGUAGGAGGGCAUCUGAGCCCGUAAUAGCCCUUUGGUUGGGUGUAGUACUACAGUGCAUGGGACGUUCUGGUGUCCUUUGCUGGAGCUUACCAAGAAUGAGAAAUGCCUCAUUAUUGGCACCUUUUACUUGGGUCUUAAGGAGCUGAUCUUAGGAACUUCAUACCUGACUCAUCUGAAUGAUUUUGAAAUGAUUGACAUGGCCAGGAAGCAGAGACCUGAGAAUAACCGAUAAGAACUUAUGCAGAGUUGAGGUUGCCAACUGAGGGACAUACCAGGAAUGUUUUAGAAUAAUUCUGUUUCAAAAAUUAGUUGUAGUUUUAAGCCUGACACCUUCUGAUCACAGGUCUGACCACAAUGUUUUUGAGAACUGAAGUCAGGCUGGUUAUAAUGGUUGGCUAGAAUUUCAAGUUUCAGCUCCUAUUGUCUGAGUGUAUUUUGCUUGAUGGAGUACUGUAUCACGAUAUUUGCUAUGGCCUAACUUUGUCUUACAGUGAGAGAUGUUUGCCAUAUCCCCUUACGCCACUGCAUAUGCAAAGUUACGAACAUAGAGGACUUCUAGUGAUGAGCUGCACAAGCCAUGUUCUUAGAUUCCUGGUAUUUGAGUUGAAAGUCUAGAUAUCUUAGAAUGAAUUGUUAAGAACGUUGAAAAAUGUAUCCACAUAGCUAAAUCAGACUUAAGAACAGAGCUCUGCCAGACAAAAAGAAUUUUGAAGCUUUUAAAAAUGGCCGUUGAUGAUGGCCAUUUAGUUCUCUGCAGACUAGUGACUUUCACUGCCAGUAGUUGCUCACCUUCUCUUGCUAACUGAAGGGGGUCAGCCUCCCGCACCAGAAACGAGGCUCCCCACUCAUUUCUACGAGGGCGAAGACCCUAACGGUGCUCAAGCAGAGUUCUCAGGAGCAGGAUGUGACUUACCGUAAACUGCUGUGUCACCUUCUAACGUGAUCUCAUCCCACUGCUGCUGUGGCCACAAGUGUUGUUAUUUUCAAGAGGUUUAUGAUCGGGGAUAGUGCGUGCACGUGUGUGUGCGUGUGUGUGUGGCUAAAAUUAAGUCACCUUAUCAGCCACAUGUGACCUCAUGUGAAAUAGUGUUUAGAAGUAGGAACACUAUUAUGUGUUGAAGUGUCCAGAAUUUCAUUUAAUAGUGGAAGGAAGGUGUGUGGUUACUAAAAAAAAUGUGUGUUGAUAGAAAAUUUUAGGAGAUUUGUUAUUAGGCACAGCAACACUCUUUCUCAGCCACUGCACAUCAAUUUCUGUAGAGUCAAAAGUUCUGUACAUAUUUUGGAAUCUGAAGCCUAUGUAAGUCAUUUGUUACUUAAAUCUGUGAAAAUAAGUCUCUUUGGAGGAGAAAGUAUGCAUUUAUAAGUGUUCUGUGGAAGCAGUUAUUUUUAUUGUAUUGAUGUAAUUGUUUUUAAGUGUUCCGUGUCUUCAUUGCAAUAUGAAAUUCAUUAAAACAUCCGUGUUCCAUAAUUACUCUUGUAAUUAUGUUAUGAGAGUCUUCCUAUUUUUACUUCUCUUCAUGUUUUACUUUGUGAACCAUUGUUAAUGGUUAUAGAAAUACCACAAUUGCCUAGAAAUUGAACAAGUUAUAAUGCCUAUUUGAAAAAAAUAAUUUUAGAUUUGGAAAUCCAAUUGCCUUAUAUUCUCUAACCAUCUCUUAUGCCAAAAUUGAAUAAUAAUUGUGCCUGUUCGUCCCUAUCACCACCCCACAAUUUCUGAGAGAACUGACAAUUGGAACUAAUACAAGCUUUUGCUAAAGUAUCUUAAUACUCUUAUUAUAGCAAGCUUACUUGAAGAUUAAAAAAAACAAACCUGUGGUUACACAAAGUCAGUGCCAUUUUCUCUAAGAGAAUGCAAAUCGAGAUGGGGUGACUACUUGUGCAUGGUUAUAUUCUAAUCUAAUGAAGUGUAUGGUUGUUAGAGAAACCCCAGAAGAUGUUAAAGUUCUCCUGGAUAUCUCCUUGCUUGUUAGCAACUCCUUUCUCAGACCUGGAAGGCUCACUGCUUAAAUUGUUACAGUGUUGUAAUAUUCAGACCUCACCAGAAAUUUCUCUUCUGCCUGCUUACCUUAUUACCUUACUCCUCAGAAAACAUGUGAUUAUCUAAAGUUCAUAAUUGAAUUUUUUUUUUUUUGUCUUUUCUUUUUUUGGUGCUGGGAAUUGGACCCAGGGCCUUAUGCAUGCUAGGCAAGCGCUCUACCACUGAGCUACAUCCCAGCCCUAAAGUUCUUAAUUACGCCUCCAGCUAAUUUAAAGGUUUAUGUUAUAUUAGUGUAAAGAAUUGAGAAGAAAAGACUUACAUUGUUAUGAUUUAAUCAAAAGCUGCUAAAAUAGCUCUUUCCCUUACUAUCCUUAGAUUUGGGUUUUCUCCUAAUGUAGAAUUUUGUAGAUUAUUUGAAAAAUUGGGAACAUCUCAAUCAUGCAACAAGUAUUAUAUAGUCCAUAUAUAAUAUGGUGGGAAGAAGCUGAAAAUGAACUCAGAUAAAAGUUGUAUAAUUUAAAAUUAAUUUUAUUAAAGUAGCUUUUGUUAAGCAGCUUUUGGUCAAAAUGAAACCAGAUUAAACAAAUCUUUGGAGCUGUAAGUGGUCCACAUGAAAUAUAGGGUAGAAUUUUGGGGGGGACCUAUAUAUGAUUUGGGCUGCAAUAGAGAAUUGUGAGGGAACUCCUUUAGGUGAUUUGGCCGAGUAGGCUUUUCUAAGGAGGUGACAUUUAACUGAGUCCUAAAAGUUGACAAAUGUGUCCAGGAAAUUGCAGAAACAAUUCCAGGUGAGGGAAUGCCACACAGAAAGGUGCUGAGAAAGAGCUUGGGACACUGCUUGUGCUGGUGGACAAUGAGCACAGUUUGACGUGGGGACCCCUCCCAGGGGAAGACUGGGGGUGAACAGGCACACACAGUGCCACUCAGAGGCCUUUGGGAGGAGUAUGGGUUUUAUCCAUAUCCACCGGCUUCCAUGUGGAGAUGGACUAGACAGGUGAAGAUUAGAGUCAGGUUGGUGGUGGAGUCAUCCAGGUGAAAGAGGCAGGUGACCAGCCUGUGUGGAUGGCAACAAAAGAAGGGUGGCUUUCAGGUCUGUUUUGGUGGCAGCACAGGCAAUUCUUGUUGGAAGGAAGGGUUCAGAAUGCAUCCGUAAAGAACACUUCUGCUGAAGGUACAGCUUUGACUUCACAGGCAUUCCUCAGUAUACCCAAUGGAUGUUUUGGGUAUUUUUUAUUAGUAUAAAAUAGUACGGGGGGGGGGAUACAUUGUGAGGUUUAUAUGUGUGCUCACAGUAUAUCUUAAUUAGAUUCACCCCCUUCAUCAUUUUCCCUCAUUCCCUUUCUUAGAACAAUUUCAACAGGUUUCAUUAUUCUGUUUUCACACAUGAAUUCACCAUUUUUACCCUCCUUUACCCUUUCCUUAUGCCCUCCCCUCCCACUGGUACCCACUCCUGGAAAGGACCUAAUUUACCCAAGGAUAUUUUAAGCCCUGACAAAAUAUCUGUUAAGGAUUUCCCCUUAAAAACAAAAAAGGUAGAUACCACUUUGGGAAUUUGAAUCACACCAGGCAUUAGGGUUAUGUUACCUUGCUAAAUUGAUCUGUGACCUACAGGUAGUAGAUAUUUUGUCAUCACCACUUUCCAAAUGCUGUCACUCUCAUUGCACUGUGCCCAUCCCACACCCACAUAGGUACUGCAGAAGUUGUCACUUUCUGGUACCUGACUCUUUAUCCAGGUACAGUUGAUUGGUUGAGGUGAGGGGGUACCUAACUGAAUUUUUCAGGAUCUUCCCUUGAAAAUUUUGGACCAAGAACUGGGAAAGCUAGUCUCUUGUAGACUAGCCCAGGAAUUAUCAGUGACCAUGUUAGUGUGAAAAUAACAUGAAAUGCUUUAAAGAGCUAAGAAAAAGUUAUUAAAAUUGUAUACUUAACAACAAUAAUAAUAACACCCUACCUUUCAGGAAUGAGUGUGAAAUAAAGAUACUUUGAAAAUCAAAAGAGUUUUCACCAAUGUAUGCCUUUCCUAAUGGAACUCCCCCCCCUGCCCCACAUGCCCGCAUGCCCUUUUGGGGAUAGUUCUGGGGUUUGAACUUGGCUUUUGCUUGCUACACAGGUGCUUUACCACUUGAGCUGUGCCUCCAUCCUUUUUUUUCUUUAUUUUUCAGAUAGUGUCUCUCAUUUAUGCCUGGGCCAGCCUUGGCCUGUGACCUUCCUGUGUACUUCCCUCAUAGUUGGUAUUCAGGUGUAAUCCUGCUCUUUGGUUGAGGUGGAUCUUGCUAACUUUUUACCCAGACUGGCCUCAAACCAUGAUCCUCUCAAUCUCCCCCUCCCAAGUAGCUGGGUUUAUUAGAUGGAACGUGAGAGUGGCAUGAUACAUCCUAGUAAAACUUCUUAAGAAGAUACUGUCAGAAGAAACAGUUAUGAAAAAGGUUUUUAAAUUUGGCAAAAUGCCAAAACACAUUACAUGAGAUGUACAAUUACAGUUAGUGAUUUAAAUAUUACAUAGCAGGAAAAGUCAGGGAUCCACACACAGCUACAUGCAAUGCUUUUUCUUUUCUUUUGAGACAGAGCCUCUUUAUAUUGUUACCCAGGAUGGGCUCAGGUGGUCCUUUCGUCUCAGACUCCAGAGUGCUGGGCUUGCAGGUGUAUGCCACCAUGCCCAGCCUACCUGCAAUCCUUGACCUUGGGAACAUAAUUUUGAAUGAAAAAGAAGCCACUGGUACUACAUACUAUACGAAGUAUACCUUUUUUAUAAGGCACAAAAUGCAAAACAAAGCGCUGUCUAUUCAUCUAUGUAUACAUGUAUGUACCAUCUAUCAAUUACUAAUAUUUGUAUUACUAAUACAAAUAUAUCAAUUACUAAUAUUUCGGAACAUGGGAAUGAAAAUACAAAAUUUAGACCUGAUGUUGUGGUGCACAUCUGUAAUUCCAGCACUCAGGAAGCUAAGGCAGGAGAAAUUUUAAAUUCAAGGUCAGCCCGAGAUACAUAGCAGACCCUGUCUCAACAAAACAAAAUAGAAAACAAAAUCUAGCCUCAUUUUGUGAGCUGAGGGUAGAGGAUGCGAUAGGGAGACAGAGGCUGAAAUAGGGAGAUUUUUAACAAUAUUCGUUUGGCAUAUCUAAUAUUGUAUGAUUAGAAUAGUAAUAUAAAAAUUAUUUUAAAAAUGUGUUAUAUUCCAAAGAUGGAUAAAGUGGGUGCUGAUAAAAUGGGAAAUUUGUACUAAUACAUUUUUUUAAAGCAUCAGUUUCAAACUUAUUGCACGGCUAUAAUUACUUUGAACUAGUUAUUUUUUCAUUUACAAACAUGUAGUCUUAUUAUUCUAGAAUGUUUGAUUUUCAGUCGGUAUAUACAUUCCAUAGGAGGAUACACACAACCAAUUUUAUUCUAAGACAGUGUUCUUGAAAAAGUGGUCACUAAGGAAACUAUAAAAAGACACUGCACUACACUGUUGUCAAAAUUGGGCUGUUUUCAAAUACAGUUCAGGAAUUUUAGCUUUCAAGUAGGAAAUGUAAUAAGGAUUUCAUUUACCAGGUAUGAUCAUAAAACAGUAAAAGUCCUUUUUGUAUGUUGCUCCUAAACUGGGACUGAAGAUAACUUCCAGUUCAGGAAACAGUCCCAAAAUUGUGUUGAGCAGUUCCAGCAUACUACAGUAAGAAUGGUUAUUCUUUAGUAUGGGUUUUGAGAAGCUAGCAUUUAUCUAGCUAGGUGGAGAAGUUCUGGAAUAUCUGCUAAAAAUAAUUUCCACGGUGCAUAAUAAUUAUAAGUAUCUUCUAGUUCCUGAUACGAUUUUUUUCUCCUUUUGGCAGGG